rnacentral:lncRNA from 1 species
UGGAAUCUUAGCAACCAUCCAUUGUAUGUCGAGAGGAUGCGUAACUGGUUUCUCGAUGUAUGCCUUCGUGGUCUUGAAGUCAAUGUCUUUACGUUUACCAUAGAAACCAGCACAUGACAAAUACAACGGGAUAAUGAUUGAAAACUUUUCAACCAAUGUCUCAACUGUUUUAUGACGGUUUGCUCUUACCAUGGAUCAUAAACAUAAA